CUUGUUCUAAAACCGUGAACUGCGUCUCCUGCCUAAUAAGAGUAAACUUACCUGUGGGCCUUGUACCGUCCAGGUUAUUUCUCGGGGUGAAAUUCCGUGUGGAGUUGUUGGUUUUUCUUUAUUUAGUUGCAUUCCCCUUUUUCACCCUAUCCUCGCCACAGGACAAGGCACACCGGCAUCCAAUCCUUCUAAUCAUCCUCCUCCAUAUAAGCCUGGGCGUCUCAUCACUUCGACGCCAGAUUAUUCCGUCCGCUACGAACUCUCGUGUGCCCCCUCGCUCGGCUCUUCAUCCUCCCCGUUGCCAGGAUCCACCAGCCAGCCAAUAAACUCUGUUUGUAUACCCUACUACAAACCACUGUCUGCUUUGGGGUCCGAACCUUCACUUCAAC
ensembl:lncRNA